rnacentral:rRNA from 1 species
UACAGAGGUCCCAAGCGUUGUUCGGAUUCACUGGGCGUAAAGGGUGCGUAGGCGGUGAGGCAAGUCGGAUGUGAAAGCCCGGAGCUCAACUCCGAAAUGGCAUUGGAAACUACCUUGCUCGAGGGUUGGAGGGGGGACUGGAAUGCUUGGUGUAGCAGUGAAAUGCGUAGAUAUCAAGCGGAACACCAGUGGCGAAGGCGAGUCCCUGGACAACUCCUGACACUGAGGCACGAAAGCUAGGGGAGCAAACAGG